GACGAACGCUGGCGGCGUGCUUAACACAUGCAAGUCGAGCGGAAAGGCCCUGCUUUUGUGGGGUGCUCGAGUGGCGAACGGGUGAGUAACACGUGAGUAACCUGCCCUUGACUUUGGGAUAACUUCAGGAAACUGGGGCUAAUACCGGAUAGGAGCUCCUGCUGCAUGGUGGGGGUUGGAAAGUUUCGGCGGUUGGGGAUGGACUCGCGGCUUAUCAGCUUGUUGGUGGGGUAGUGGCUUACCAAGGCUUUGACGGGUAGCCGGCUUGAGAGGGUGACCGGCCACAUUGGGACUGAGAUACGGCCCAGACUCCUACGGGAGGCAGCAGUGGGGAAUAUUGCACAAUGGGCGGAAGCCUGAUGCAGCAACGCCGCGUGCGGGAUGACGGCCUUCGGGUUGUAAACCGCUUUCGCCUGUGACGAAGCGUGAGUGACGGUAAUGGGUAAAGAAGCACCGGCUAACUACGUG
rnacentral:rRNA from 1 species